GGGCUCUAACAGGGGAAAGCACGUUGCUAUACCAGCACAUAGCAAGGGCACCUAAUAUGGUCAAGACUACCUGGAGGAAGUUACCUUUGGUUGAGAUUUAAAAGAUAAAUAGGAGUUAGACAGAUGAAGAGGGAGGGGAGUAGAGUUUCAGUGAGAGGAACCAAGCUGUGGAGGACUUGGACGUAGAGAGGGUACGUACUACAGAAACUAGAAGGAGUUCAGUACGGCUGAGGCUUAGAGGAGGGAGGACAGGGCAAAGGAGAGACUUGCAGCUGAGAAGGGCAGGAGCAAACUUCAGAAGUUUACAUCCUAUCCUGAAAUCUUAGGAGAGCCUUUGAGACAUUCUAAAGAGGAGGGCAUGGUAAACCGUGCAUUCUAGAACAUAGCUAGUGUAACAGACAGCAGAAUGGAAAAGAAUCAGGGCCAAACACAAGGAGACCAGAAAACAGGCUCUUAUAGGAGCCCAGGAGAAAGAUAAUGACAGUUUACCAGAAUCCUCUAUGAACCAUCAUUUGCAGCAAGUACACUAAAUGUGGACACUCAUGCUUACAAUGACUGAGGCAGCAGACACCAUGAGACCCUGAGUCAUCUCUUAGUCUCUGUCUCUUCAACUGUCACCUAUGAGGGCCGCACACAAAACACAGUAUUGGGGGAAAGGCCCCAGCUUGCCUGCCUGGAAGACUUCUCUGACGGUGAUGCAAUGCAGAACAAAGGGAGUGUUUGCCGGAGUAAAUGGUGCAAAUUCAGCUGAGUUAAUAAGAUAACGCAGUGAAGGAGGAAAAGAAGGGAGACCAGCAGCUGCCAGUUUGGAGAAUCAAGAUUGGCCAGCAUUGUGAUAUCCCCAGAGACAAGACAAGAGGGCCAGUGAAAACCUACCAAGGCCAAUUAUGAGAACACAUGGGAGAGAGGUCCUGGGGUGCUGCAGAAAGAAAAUAGAGAAUAAAAGAAAUUUGGGGGCAAUCAUUCCUCAGGUGUGAAGUAUAAGUGAAGUCAACUCAUUUGUGGAUCAAUUUUUUUUCUACCUUCAUCUGUAUUGAUUUAUCACUUCUGUUAAGAGUCUACCCUGAAACCUAAUCACUGUACUUUCAGUAGGCUAAUCCUAGAUUCACCCUAGAGGUCAUUUUUAGUUACUCUUAAUCAUACUGUCUUCUAACAAGCCAAAUAAUUUCUCUCCAUCUUUGAUGUUUAUGCCGUUCAAAUAUUUGUGAAGCAUUAUCACAUCUCCCAUUAGUUGUUGCUGAGCUAGGCUUUAAGGAUUAAGCACAUUUAGAUCCUUUAAACCUAGUAAAUGCCUCAGAUCAAUCCUUCCAUUACUCUAACCAUUUCUGAGGCUCUUCUUGAUAGCAUCUUCAGAGUCUUUGUACAUCUCAACACUACUGAGACAUCUGUAGCUCAACUUGAUAUCCCCAAAAGAGCCUAACCAACAUCACAUCAUGACAUAUUUUUCUUAAAUCACCUGCAUCAAAAAAUCCCAAAAGUGGAUUAUUUAAAAUUAGAUUCUUGGGUCAUACAAUUAAACCUAGUGAAUCACUGAGAGAUGGGUUCAGAAUUUCAAAAUGGUAAAUUAACAAGAUACCCCAGAUUAUUCGUAGGCACCUAAAACUUGAGGACCAGCUGCAGCAAGUCAUUACCGAGAAAUCCUCAAUAUAAACUUUGAAUACCUUUUCUAUAUAGGCACAUAAGCCUGAAACUUUCAAAACAUUAUACACUAUUAUUUAUGACUGUCCCACAAGUGAAGUCAGCACUGAGAAAGCAGCAAGGAUCUCAGACAUGCAAGAGGAGACAAAUGUACCAGGCGCAUUACUCGUUCUUUUCUCCAUUGUACUGCAAUGCCCAGACAUUAUUUACUUCAAGUUCAUAGAAUUGGAUUAACCAUACCCUUGAUUUUUGGUACACGUUCAUCGUUAGUCCAUACAUGGCUCUUAUUUAUUUAUUUGC